UGACCUCCCCGUCGGUUGCUCUUUGUUAGCUUCCCGCCGUUGUCCAACUCAACCCAAACUUCUAACAGGACCGAUUGUAUGCUGAUGUGGCACUGCACGUCCCGCCUCCUCGACCUCUUACGCAUUUCCGGGAGACAGCUUUCUUCUUCCGGCACACGUAAACAUGGCGCCCCCCACCCCGCUGUUAGCAGUGCGUGGAUCAGACUGUACCACUCUGCUCAACGGUCCUCCAACCUGUGAACAACACUCAGCCUUCAACAGGUAAACACUCCUCCUCCUCCUCACUCUCUCUCUC